GGGGGCGAACUGGUUUCGACGGAGGACGGAAGGCGACGGGUGCGCGCCGUGGUUGGUCACGAGGCCACGUAAAAACGGGACCAAGCAGAAACGCGAACGAGCCCAUGGCUCUCGCGGCCUAACUAAAGGCCGUGCGUUCCCCCGGAAGCGCCGGGUACCGGGUGUGAACGUCAGCUCCGGCUGGACCUUGGCGGGAAGCGAACCGCCUUGCCGAGGUCGAGAUCAAAGGGCGAGGACGUGAGCGGUUGCAGGCUCGGAGGUUGCCGCUCACGUAUCCACUCCGAGCUACGCGCGUAGGGCCCUUCACUGGAAGUCUUUCGGACCCGGGUUCGAUUCCCGGCGCCUCCACUU
rfam:Anaeromyxobacter dehalogenans 2CP-C, complete genome.